AUAUCUUGGACUGACAACGUUAAAAAAUAAACCCUUUUGGCUAAGAUCAAGUGUUGUAUAUAUUCUUAUCAGUUUAAUAUUUGAUAUAAAAAAUUAAAUUAAUUUUUAUAAGGAAAAGUCAGUUACAAGAGUUUGCUACUGGAGUAGAGCGUCGCCCUAGGUCUUCUGGCGCAGCCUCAUCAAGUCCA